rnacentral:rRNA from 1 species
GGCCUAAUACAUGCAAGUCGAACGGGAUUCGGAUAGCAAUAUUUGAUGAGAGUGGCGCACGGGUGCGUAACGCGUAUGCAACCUACCUCUAACAGGGGAAUAGCUCCGAGAAAUCGGGAUUAAUACCUCAUAGUAAAUAUUUGUGGCAUCACAGAUAUUUUAAAGUCACGGCGGUUAGAGAUGGGCAUGCGUGCCAUUAGCUAGUUGGUGAGGUAACGGCUCACCAAGGCAACGAUGGCUAGGGGUCCUGAGAGGGUUAUCCCCACACUGGUACUGAGACACGGACCAGACUCCUACGGGAGGCAGCAGUAAGGAAUAUUGGUCAAUGGACGCAAGUCUGAACCAGCCAUGCCGCGUGCAGGAAGACGGCCUUAUGGGUUGUAUACUGC